CGGCGGACGGGUGAGUAACGCGUGGGUAACCUGCCCUGUACACACGGAUAACAUACCGAAAGGUAUGCUAAUACGGGAUAACAUAAGAAAUUCGCAUGUUUUUCUUAUCAAAGCUCCGGCGGUACAGGAUGGACCCGCGUCUGAUUAGCUAGUUGGUGAGGUAAUGGCUCACCAAGGCGACGAUCCCUAGCUGGUCUGAGAGGAUGACCAGCCACACUGGAACUGAGACACGGUCCAGACUCCUACGGGAGGCAGCAUG
rnacentral:rRNA from 1 species